AUGGGUCUGGAGGCCGCCAUCGAGGCCCCUCGACACGUAGAAGUACACCGCCGUCUGCUCCUUGAGGGCGCCGUCAGCGAGGACGAGGAGUCCGAAGGGGCCGAGAGCGCCACGGUUGGCGGCACCACCGCUGGUGCUGCAGUUGUAGCCAACGUCGGCUUCGUUCACAGUGGCAACAGCGGAGGUGUCGAGGUGGAAGGUGGCCUCGAUGUCGAGUUGGGUGGCACGACGGAGCGGGAGAGGGAGCACACUGCCGGUGUCGAUGGUGGUGCCGCCGAGGGACGCCCAUCCCUUGGCGACGUCGGCGCGCUCGGAGUCGGUCUCGCCGAUCCACCCCCAGAGCACGCGGCGGUUCUUGGAGGGGUCGUAGAAGGUCUUGGACGCGUAGAACUUGCCCCAGUCGUACCUCAGCCCGAUCCCGACAUCCAUCUCCGGGUCUAUCGGCGUGUACUUGUUGGCCGCGGCGUCGUACCUCCCGAGCGCGUACCAGUCGUGGCGGUCGUCGUCGCUGCUCUCCUUCAUCACGUACAGCUCCUCCGAUCCAUCGGCGCCGCCGACGGGGUAGAAGUCGAUGCACUCCCACAUGCCGGUGCCGGGGACGCUGUGGAGCAGGCCGGGUAUGAGCUCGUAGUUGAUAAAGUCCUUGGUCUUGUAGGUCAUGACGAUGCCGGUGUGGCCAUGGUUGUCCUUGGAGCCGAUGACGGUGCGCCAGGUCUUGUCGGACUCGUCGAACCAUGCGGUGGUGGGGUCGCGGAAGUCCUUGUCGCCGAUGCCGGGCGGCGGGACGAGGAUGGGGUUGGCCUCGUACUUGGUCCAGUUGCGGAGGAGGGAGUCGUUGGGGUCGGCGGGGACGGCGAGGCACUGGACCUGCACGGAGGCGUUGGUGGAGCCGGUGUAGAGCAUGACGAGGGAGCCGUCGGGGAGCACGGUGGCGGAGCCGGUCCAGACGCCGUUGAUGUCGUACCACUGGUCGGGCACCAUGGCGAGGGGGAGGUGGCGCCAGUGGAUGAGGUCGCGGGACACGGCGUGGCCCCACGCGAUGUUCCCCCACACCGCCCCCUCCGGGUUGUACUGGUAGAAGAGGUGGUACCAUCCGCGGUAGUACACGGGACCUGCGAUAGAUGCAACACGAAGAGAUUUAAAUUAGGUGGACAUGUAGGAGCGUGGGUUGUGGAUUAA
rnacentral:rRNA from 1 species